GCCGGGUUGCCCGAGUGGCCAAAGGGAGCUGACUGUAAAUCAGCCGGCACUGCCUUCGGAGGUUCGAAUCCUUCACCCGGCACC
rnacentral:tRNA from 1 species